CUGGAGGCUCAAGGCUCUCAGGCUCACCUGUUAUAACUGGUUUGCAUGUCUCAUAUCAGAUUUUUUAAAGACAACGAACUUUGGAACAAGAACCCCUUAUUGUUACUCUGUGUGCUGUUCUGAUGAAGGUCCUCAGGUUUUCUUCUCUCUCUUUACCUUCUGUUCUCAGACAGCUCCUGGGAGCUGCAGCCCUGAGGAGGCUUUAUCUCUGGACACUUGUUUUUGCACUGGGGGGUCCGGGGCCGCCCCACCCCUCACUGUCUGACUAAACCACACAGAAGGUUAAGCAGCAAAUUCGAGGCUCCCUCCUCAGAGAUGCCUUUUUAAGAAAGACCCAGUGUACUCAGGCUGAGAUCAGAGCCCCUGGGCCAGGCGGCCGCGAGUGCUUCUUGGAGCCGGUGAGCACAGACUUGGCGUCGUGAGAUCGUGGAGCAGGCCUCUCCCUCUGCAUCGGGGCUCAGGGCUCAGCAGGGACAGGGAGCACACAGCGGCUCCCCGCACGGCAGCAGGGCAACCACGACGACUCCAGUGCAGAGAGCGUGGCCUCGGCCUCAGCCUCCGGCCCCUGCACGGCCUGUCAGCUGUGUGGACUCCUAGUCAUGUAAGAGUUGGAGAGUCAGGAAUCCGGGAAGAAGAGCUCACGCCCCCUGCCCUCCUCUGGGCAGACCUGGAGCUGCUAAUGCUUCAACAUGCUCGUGCCUCAAGGGAGCACCACCCCGGCCUCGGCAGUGAUGAGGCUGCCCAGCCGCACGGGGAGGCCACGGACCAGAGGUCACAGAGGGCAAGGCUGUGGCGAGCAGGAGAAAUGAGAACCACCUGGGGCAGGAGUUUCUCAAAUCAGGAAGGGACAGGAGCAUGGAGGAAGAAGAGCGGGAACUUGCAGAAAAAGAACCAAAGACAGACACAGCUGCAGACAGGUUUCGCCUCUGCAUGCAGGUGCACAGCCUUUUCAUUCCUGUCUUCAUAUUAAAUAUCGUUUUCCCAGGCUAUCCAACCCAGAGGACAGCUAACACCCGAAUGUGAACGGCUGUGCAGUGUGAGGCUCACCUACACGGCACAGACCCCACCAACACUCCCCAAAAUAUCCACCACUCUCGGAAGUCUACAAGUCCCACUUGAAUUUUUUUAGAUAACCUCAUUUCCUGCUGCCUUCCCAACUGUGUGGGAGCCAUUCAAUACGAUGGCUGUCACCGUCCUCCAGGACAGUCCUCCACCCUAGAGCUGUCUCAACCCUCCAGGACAGUCCUCCAUCCUAGAGCUGUCUCAAUCCUUCAGCACAGUCCUCCACCCUAGAGCUGUCUCCAUCCUCCAUGACAGUCCUCCACCCUAGAGCUGUCUCCAUCCUCCAGGACAGUCCUCCACCCUAGAGCUGUCUCCAUCCUCCAUGACAGUCCUCCACCCUAGAGCUGUCUCAACCCUCCAGGACAGUCAUUCAUCUUAGAACUGUCUGCAUCCUCCGUGACAGUGCUCUACCCUAGAGCUGUCACCACCCUCCAGAACAGCCCUUCACCCUAGAGCUGUCACCACCCUCCAGGAUAAUUCCUCCACCCUAGAGCUGCCUCCAUCCUCUAUGACAGUCCACCCUAGAGCUAUCUUCGUCUUCCAGGACAGUCUUCCACCCUAGAGCUAUUGCCAUCCUUCGUGACAGUCCUUUGCCCUAGAGCUAUGGCCAUGCUCCAUGACAGUCCUCCACCCUAGAGCUGUCACCAUCCUCCAGGACAGUCCUCCACUCUAGAGCUGUCCCUUUUUCCAGGACAGUCCUUCACCCUGGAGCUGUCUCCAUCCUCUGUGACAGUCCACCCUAGAGCUAUCGCCAACCUCCAGUACAGUCCUACACUCUAGAGGUGACUCAAUCCUCUGUGACAGUCCUCCACCCUAGAGCUGUCUCAACCCUCCAGGACAGUCUUCCACCCUAGAGCUGUCUCAAUCCUCCAGGACAGUCCUCUAUCCUAGAGCUGUCUCAGUCCUCCAGGGCAGUCCUCCACCUUAGAGCUGUCUUCAUCCUCCAUGGCAGUCCUCCACCCUAGAGCUGUCUCCAUCCUCCAUGACAGUCCUACAUCCUAGAGGUGUCUCAAUCCUCUGUGACAGUCCUCCACCCUAGAGCUGUCACCAACCUCCAGAACAGUCCUCCACCCUAGAGCUGUCUCCAUUGUCUAUGACAGUGCACCCUAGAGCUGUCUCCGUCAUCCAUUACAGUCCUCCACCAUAGAGCUGUCUCCAUCCUCCAUAACAGUGCACCCUAGAACAGUCUCCAUCCUCCAUGACAGUCCUUCACCUUAGAGCUGUCUCCAUCCUCCAGGACAGUCCUCCACCCUAGAGCUGUCUUCAUCCUCCAGGACAGUCCUCCACCCUAGAGCUCUCUCCAGCUCACUGCAAGGUCUGCCUCCCGGGUUCAU
rnacentral:lncRNA from 1 species